UGUUGCAGCCAUUGAAAAUUUCACAAAGCCCAAUUAACUUUACUAUAUACUCUUGAGGAAGAGUCUUGCUUAUUGGUCCAGGUGAAAUGCCAACCCUUUACUCUGAGGGCAGUGAGUUGUAGGUCAGAAAUAGUGUCCUUGAAAUCAACUUCAGCAUCAGAACUGGGGAGCCAAUUCUGUCAUCAGUGCUUAAUACACAGUUGAAAUCACUAUUGAUCAGCCAAGCAUCUUGACUGAGAAUAAUAGUUGA
rnacentral:lncRNA from 1 species